GCAUGGAAAACAGUGCCAACAGAAGUAAAGGAUAAAUUGUGGGAGGAAAUAACGCGUUUUUAUGACAUUGAUGCAUGUCGUAGGCGUUUUGUAAUGACUCGGCUUGGUGACCUGCUUCGAAAUUUUAGAAGAAAAGUGUAUACGGGAUACAUAGUACCUAACUUAGGUAAACAAAAGAAACUUGCACGAAUUCCUAAGAGGUAUCGUUCAAUGGUGGAGCAAACAGACUGGGACAAGUUUGUAACAUAUACACAAUCAGACGAGUUUAAGGAUGUGUCAAAUAAGA